AUGUCUUCCUCCUCCGGCGCAUCCCAAACCAGCCUCAAUGGCCAGGUUACCGAGAAGCUGACGCGCACAAACUAUGUGCUAUGGCGCACGCAAGUCAUCCCCCAGCUGUGUGGCGCCGGUGUCUACGGCUACGUCGACGGCACCCAGCCGGAGCCGGCAAAACUCCUCGUCACCACCAAGGACGGCAAGGAGGUCUCAUCAUCGCCCAACCCUCUCCACCCAAUUUGGGUCAGGGAGGAUCAGCAGGUCCUUGGAUAUCUGCUGAAUAACCUGACGCGUGAGGUGCUGCUCACGGUGACCACGGUCACCACCGCGGGCGCGCUCUGGCCGACGCUCGCUGGGAUGUUCUCGUCCCAGUCUGCCAGCCGCAUCAACAACAUCCGAACAUCCCUCAUCAACGCGCAGAAGGGGAACCUCUCCGUCGCCUCCUACUUCGCCGUCAUGCGUGGCUACGCCGACGAGCUAGCUGCCGCAGGAAAGGUGAUCCCCGACGACGAACUUGCCUCCUACAUCAUCCACGGGCUCGACGCCGACUAUCAGCCUCUGGUCUCUGCCCUCGACGCUCGCGUGACCGGGGUAACCCUUGAUGAACUCUUUGCCAUGUUAUCCAACUUCGAUCAGCGCAUGGCUCAAUUCCAGGGGGCCGGCGGCGGCUUCAAAUCAUCCGCGAACGCGGCCACUCGCGGGCGGGGUGGCGGCUCUCGCUCGCGUGGGCCCUCUCGCAACAAGGGCAGGUCCAGCGGCGGCGGCAACCGUGGCGCCACGCCACCACGAUCUGGUGGCCGAGGCCGCCGCGGACGCGGCGCUGGUGGCGGCGGCAGGAACCGUCCGGACACCCCUCGGUGCCAGAUCUGCGGCAAGGUCGGGCACACAGCAAAGGAUUAA
rnacentral:rRNA from 1 species